rnacentral:rRNA from 1 species
UACGUAGGGGGGCAAGCGUUGUCCGGAUUUAUUGGGCGUAAAGAGCGCGUAGGCGGCUAUACAGGUCCGCUGUGAAAACUCGAGGCUCAACCUCGAGACGUCGGUGGAAACCGUAUGGCUAGAGUCCGGAAGAGGAGAGUGGAAUUCCUGGUGUAGCGGUGAAAUGCGCAGAUAUCAGGAAGAACACCCGUGGCGAAGGCGGCUCUCUGGGACGGUACUGACGCUGAGACGCGAAAGCGUGGGGAGCGAACAGG